UACCUGUUCUUCUAAUGGUAGGAAAGCGGAAUUUGACUCCGUUAAUGGUGGUUCGAAUCCAUCACAGGUAG
rnacentral:tRNA from 1 species